rnacentral:lncRNA from 1 species
GAGAGCAAGAUGUCACUGGGAUUUUACUACAGAAAAGGAGUUUAUAUGUGCUAAAGGUUAGAGCAUGGAAUUGCUUCAAUGUGCAUCAUUUUGCUAAAUACUCUAAAUGGAUUACUCAUUCCAGUUUACAGAAACAAGAUCUAAAAUCAGGUAAAUAUCUCUGCAGAAUUAUUUAUAUAUGGAAACAAAUCACAUUAAAUCUGCUCAUUAGUUUUGAAUAGGACAUAAAAAUAAAUUAGCUACCUAAAAUAUGUGUAGUUGUUCAUGCAUUUUUAAAAAGAUAAAGCAAGUUCAGG